GUAAGUGCAAACAUUUAAAUUUUUGUACACCGCUACUUGUGCGCACAUUCACAUACGUGCAGACAUGCAUAUGUUCCUGUUUGAGAGAGCAGAGCAGAGAGUAAGCUCGAAAAUUGUGCACAGCGGCUCUUCAUUUCACAAUCAACCAUGUCGGCCGAGCGCUCGACGCGUUGUGAAGGACCCCAUGUCCUUCUUGGCUUGUUGUUGAUCGAGGCUGAAAGUAAGGAACACGAACAAGCACGAAGCUGAGUUGGUGCUGCCACAGAUGCUUGUCUCGAUGUUGGAUGGUUGGUGUCCGUAGGCAAUGGAAAUUCACGAAAGAGGUGUCGGCGUCCUUGUUUAUCAUAAGGCAGAGAAACAGAGCGAGAUACAUACAAUAUACACGGAAGGAGAACAAAUCAUUCCCGAUGGCGUCUAUUUCAAAAGGGGGGUUGUUGAUGGCUUGGGGCAAACAACUGACGUAAAGGUCGCGCUGGACUGCCAAGCAUCCCACCUAGAAAUGUGCAUACAUACAUAUGUACAUACAUAUAUGUUUAUGUAUGUGCUUGUGCAAAAACUGACUAGUCUUAUACAAUAAGAAGCAGCGGGAACUCUAUUGGAUCAAACAUAAGUUGAUGGCGUUGUUGCGUCGUUUCUGCGGAAACAAGUCUACAAACAAACGCGCAUACUUGUGCUUUCCCCUGUCUAUGUUGCCUGUAAUCUGUUGUAUCCUGCAAUAUAGAGUUCAACUUUGACAUUUACAGAAGGAAAAUACACAUAGCGCAUGCUCCUCCACUCUGGAGUGGAGUACAGACCACACAUAUUUAAAUGUAAACAUAUAUAUAUAUAUGCAUAUAUACACUUAUAGCAUGCUUAAAGGACGCUAGACAAAGAACCCGCCAAAAUUCAAAUAUUUGCUUUCUUUGGUUCAGAAAAAUUAUCGAUACAAAUAAACACAUAUCUGUUUUUCAUUCGUAUAGAACAAAAUUGCGCGCCAAGCUUGAAAUAUUUUAAAAGCAAACGCAAAUUAUUUGUUAAAUGCGCAAUAAUAAUAUGUAUAAUAAAUGUCUUAUGAAAUAAUGUGAAAGUUUUCUAGAAUUACACUGAAUUAGGAACAUAUGACGCAUGUAUUUUAAUUAAUUUUAUUAAUAUAAGAAUUUUAAGAUAAUUACAU